rnacentral:rRNA from 1 species
AUUGAACGCUGGCGGCAUGCCUUACACAUGCAAGUCGAACGGCAGCGGGGGAGAAGCUUGCUUUUCCUGCCGGCGAGUGGCGAACGGGUGAGUAAUACAUCGGAACGUGCCCUGUAGUGGGGGAUAACUAGUCGAAAGAUUAGCUAAUAUCGCAUACGAUCUAUGGAUGAAAGCGGGGGAUCGCAAGACCUCGCGCGAUUGGAGCGGCCGAUAUCAGAUUAGGUAGUUGGUGGGGUAAAGGCCCACCAAGCCAACGAUCUGUAGCUGGUCUGAGAGGACGACUAGCCACACUGGAACUGAGACACGGUCCAGACUACUACGGGAGGCAGCAGUGGGGAAUUUUGGACAAUGGGCGAAAGCCUGAUCCAGCCAUUCCGCGUGCAGGAUGAAGGCCCUCGGGUUGUAAACUGCUUUUGUACAGAACGAAAAGGUUUCUACUAAUACUAGGAGCUCAUGACGGUACUGUAAGAAUAAGCACCGGCUAACUACGUGCCAGCCGCCGCGGUAA